rnacentral:rRNA from 1 species
UACGGAGGUCUCAAGCGUUGUUCGGAUUCAUUGGGCGUAAAGGGUGCGUAGGUGGCGGGGUAAGUCAGGUGUGAAAUCUCGAGGCUCAACCUCGAAACUGCACUUGAUACUGCCUUGCUCGAGUACUGGAGAGGAGAUUGGAAUUUACGGUGUAGCAGUGAAAUGCGUAGAUAUCGUAAGGAAGACCAGUGGCGAAGGCGAAUCUCUGGACAGUUACUGACACUGAGGCACGAAGGCCAGGGGAGCAAACAGG